GAGGCAUAGCUCAGCCGGUUAGAGCGCACGCUUCACAUGCGUGAGGUCGCGGGUUCGAUUCCCUCUGUCUCC
rnacentral:tRNA from 2 species